AAUUAUAGCUUUGUUAUGAUUAGUUCAGAUAUUGCUGCAAAGGGAUGGCAAUGGCCAAGGUACACAAUUAUUCCCGUUCAGAUAAUAUUCAAUGAAGGACUAUGACUGCUUAGGAACAGUUCCAGGGGGUCUGCAAAGGAAAGUGUAAGCAAUAGUGGCGCAGUUUUGAUGAACCAUUCCACUUCAGAUAGAAGGAAGGGUUGUAGCUUAGACGCCACUUUGGAAGGCACAAGGAUACCACGAUUGUUGAUGAUCAGUAGCAUGGGGUUGCAAGCAUAUCUAAAUGAAUUUGCAAGGGUGUUGCAGUAUUGAUUAGUUACUAAUGUAACUAUCAAAAUUUUGUAAUGCUUAAGUGUGUUUAAAGAAUAAUUUGUUAUUAUGCACUAUAUAGUUUGUAUUCAGAUCUGUGUGUGUUUGCUAAAAUAUAUUUAGGUUCUUCUUUAUACUGUUACC
rnacentral:lncRNA from 1 species